rnacentral:tRNA from 1 species
GCCUGGGUGGCUCAGUCGGUUGAGCGUCCGACUUCGGCUCAGGUCAUGAUCUCGCAGUCUGUGAGUUCGAGCCCCACAUCGGGCU